AGAGUAGUCUGCAGCCUCUUGUUCAUUUGCCUCUUUUUCCAGCCUUUCGAUUUCUGCGCACAAUUUAUUUUUUCUAGGGUAUGUCUAUCGAGUUUAUAAUAUAUAAAACUUUAUGUGACGUCUUUUUAUACAAACAAUAACGUUCUUAAGAUUGUUGUUUGUAUCAAGACGCCACAAACUGUUUUACUCGCUAGGAUACUAUUACUAAGAAAACAUAUGUAACAUCCCGAUUUCAAGAAUAUGGUGGUGCAUGCGUAGAGGUUUAAAAGAAUUGAUUUGGCUACCUAUGUCACCAAAGUGCACCUAUCUAUUUGGUCAACUGUCCUGAGAGAAUUCCACAGUUAAGCGUGCUUGGGCUGGAGCAAUUUCAGGAUGGGUGACCUUCCGGGAAGUGAUUGUCGAAACCGUGUGAGUGAGGCCAAAACACGGGGAAAGAUAAUGUGGUGAUUUGUAGUGUCGGUAAACAAAUCUUUAAAGCCUCCCGGACUUAGCGAAUCGACCGUCAGAAAGGCAUGGGGCCUACGGGCUCGAGAGAGGAUGUGGGUGCUCAUUAGUAGGGGCGGUCGGGGCGUUACAAGUGGUAUCAGUGCCGAACCAUGGCGAGUGUGGAGUCAAGAAGACUCACACCGUCGGGGGUGACGAUCUUGCUGUGCAAUGAGGACGUUGCGAUUUGUUAGUGUGGGUGAAUUGUAACACCAUGGUUUCAGGAAUAUCGUGGUGUAUGUGUAGAGGUUUAAAAGAUUUGAUUUGACUACCUAUGUCACCAAAGUGUACUUAUCUUUUCGAUCAACUGUCCUGAGAGAACUCCACAGUUAAGAGUGCUUGGGCUGAAGCAAUUUCAAAAUGGGUGACUUUCCAGGAAGCGAUUGUUGGAACCGUGUGAGUGAGGGUAAAACACGGGGAAAGAUCAUGUGGUGAUUUGUAAGGUCGGUAAACAAGUCUUUAAAGCCUCUCGGACGUAGCGAACCGAUCGUCGGACAAGCGUGGAGCCUACGGCCCGAGAGAGGACGUGGGUGCUCACUGGUAGGGGUGGUCGGGGUGUUAUAACAUAAGGGAGGUUUAUUAACAUUCUUUUUAUUUUUUUCCCCCAAGUUUCUAGAGCAUAUCCUAGCUGAGAAAAACAUCAAAAACUUCUUGAACAUUGAUGCCGACACUCGUGGACCUUCUUGAAGUCCCUGGAUUGUGGACUUCAUGGUGGCCUUAAAACCAACAUUAAACCAAAGAUCAACGUCUGAGAUUGAAAUAAUCUCGAGAGAAAAUAGUUUCAACCGGGCCUUGUGGCCUAGUGGUAAAGGGGUCACAGCUGUGACUUCCGCCACCAGGGUUCGAGGCAAGGCCACUGGCAGGUUUACAUAGGGGAAUUGCCAGCCUCGUGGGAUUAGUCCUUGGGCCUAGAAAGCCUUUGGGAGACCCGCGGUUAUUCAAAAAAAAAAAAAAAGUUUCAUAAACCUAGUCUAGCCUGAGCAAAAUAACGCUUCACAACUUACGUGCCACUAUGUACUUUUUCAACAUAGGUAAAUCCAGGUCUAAUUUGAGAAGAACCAAGUUUCAGUAAAACAUAAAUAUAUAUAUAUAUAUAUAUAUAUAUAUAUAUAUAUAUAUAUAAUAUUUGGAGUGAUCAAAUUUACGACCGAAUAUCCGAAUUUUAACGGAUAUGCGGACAUCAGAUAUCCAAUAAACGGCAUAGUGGAUAUAGAUCAGAAAGUCAUUAUCCGUACAGAACCGAUCACGAAUAGCUUAUAAAUUUUGAAUAUCCACUAUGCGUCCAGACUUAAUAUAUAUUUAAAGCUUAUAUGCAAUAAUAGAAAAGUAUUGGCAACUUAAAGAAAAGAAGAAUAACACUUUCUUUUGAUAUGUAAAACUUAAGACUCCAUCUUUUUUCUGAUAGAAGGCAAAAAAAAAACAAUUUUGCCAAAACUACAAUACACUGAUUUUAAAAGACAAAAAAUAUAAUAAAAUCUAAGUUGAUUGAUAAGUUGCAUCAUUUUUCUGGUGAUUAUUUUGGAGCAAUUAUUUUCCAAAGUAUUGAAUAUAAAAUAUCUAAAAUGUUUAAAUUAAUUUACAAUUUGUUAGCUUGAUUGAUUUAUCUAAUUUAAAAGCCUAUAUAAUAGUUCAUACACCGAUUAGAAAUAAGCCAGUUACAAUAGAAAAAAUCAACAGGUAAAACUAACCUUUAGUGUAUGACAUCGAUGUUACCCAUCAUAUACAGUACGAAGAUAUAAGAUAGUAAUCAUCGGACUAUUUCGGUUGACCUCGGCUAUGUUUACCGUCAAACCAAAUCUCGGAAACUCUCUCUUUUGCGACGGUAAUGCAAUAUUCCUAUUCAAGAGUCGUCACAAACAAAAAUUUGUAGAAUAUGUUUUGCUCUCGAUUAAUACGCCAUCUCGAUAUUCUUUCAAGCACUGUGACAACCCUUAAUACACCGAUGAAAGAACUUUUCAAUACAAGCUUUGGCGGAGAAAACGAAGAUUUUUUUUAGUUGUUG
rnacentral:lncRNA from 1 species